rnacentral:rRNA from 1 species
UACGUAGGGGGCAAGCGUUGUCCGGAAUUAUUGGGCGUAAAGAGCGUGUAGGCGGUCCGGUAAGUCAGCUGUGAAAGUCAAGGGCUCAACCCUUGAAAGCCGGUUGAUACUGUCGGGCUAGAGUCCGGAAGAGGCGAGUGGAAUUCCCGGUGUAGCGGUGGAAUGCGCAGAUAUCGGGAGGAACACCGGUGGCGAAGGCGGCGACCUGGGUCGACACUGACGCUGAGGCGCGAAAGCGUGGGGAGCAAACAGG